CAGAGAGAAGAUUAAAUAGAACUAAUAAUGUAUAUGUUUCCUUUAACAGAUGCAUUCUGUCCAAAUACUUUACACUUUACAUCCUUAUGUUCGACUUUUUACAUGCAUAGUCUCUAAACGUUCACAUACAGUAUGAAUAUAUAGAGUACAUAGCCAAAGCAAAGAUGUACAUUAAGCAUAUUUACUCAGUGGAUUUAUAAAGUCCUGUCAGUUCGAAAAAACAUUCUUAAAGUAAUGUUUAAAGAAUGCUCUAAUAACUUUAUUAAUAUUUGAUAUACGUUUUUCAUAACGCUGUGCAAAUCAUUCUUGGAACGUCCUUACGAUGUUAUUUGCACAUGCUGAAUGUUCUAAGAAACAUUUUUGUUACAUUUAAAUAACGUUCAAAUCACGACAAGAAAACUAGACAGUUUAAGGUUUAUAGAAUAAUAAAAAAAAACAUUUGAAUAACGUUAUUUUUGGGUGAAAUAGAGUUAGUGGAACAUUGUAAGAAACCUUUUUGUAACCUUUAAAUAGCAUUCUAAUCACAACAAGAAA